GUUCGAUGUUACUUAUUGAAUCUAGUUAGCUGGCUAGCCAGUAGCAACAUAAUUGUGUGUUUUAUUUUUGCCGGUCUAACUACGUUAGCUAGCUAGUUAUAUGGGUUAGCUAGCUAGCUCACUAACUAGCGAGCUGCCAAGCUGGCAUGGCAUUUUGGUGUUGCACUGUCAUACAGCGCGAGCCAACCCUAGCUAGCAGUUUCUGGCGAAGACUGAAUGCAAACCCCUUUGUUUGAGAGGCUAGCAAGACGUCCCACACUUGCCCUGAUGCCAGACUGACUAUGCAGUAGAAAUGCGGCUCUUGCAGAUAAUCAAGGUAAAAUUUGAUGUUGGCCUGUUACAAUUAACAUAUCUCAACCUAACCAUAGAUAGGAUUAUUAAAAUCAACAUAUUGUCAAAUGUAGCUCUAGGCUAUUGCUUUGACGUGUUAUUAUAUUGUUUUAUCAUAAUUUGCUCAAUAUGUAUUGUCUGUGUAUUCAAGACUAUAGGGGAACAGUAUUGCUAUUGGCAAUAUAAUCUGCAUUUUAAACAAUCCAUGGCAAGUAUUAUGAUCCAUGGUAAGUAUCAUAUCCUAAACUAACCAAUGGUGGAAGGAACCUAUAACCAAAUCAGAACAUCACACUAAACCAGCACCAAUCAGAUGCUGUAAUGAUACAAGCAUGCCUUCCCUUGUCCAAUCAGAGUGAUAUACCGGUAUUUAUGACCCAAUCACAGCUUUAGCUGGUACAGUAUCAUCACUACUGCUCAGCAUUGAGCAGGCCUCUGACCAGUUAUAUAAGUCCCUGGCUCCGACGCAGCAGCACUGUCUAUGCUAGCUCAAGGCUGCCUGUGGGUUCAGUGAGUUCGAGACAGCCUCAAUGCAGUGGACUGCCGCUGGGGGAAAAAUGUGACCUCGUUUGACUGGUGUUGCCUGGAAGCGCUCCAACUGCAGUCUGGGAAGUGGAAAGGACAGUCUAUGUUUUAAACAGGUACUAGUUUAACCCUCAGACUGAAAUUAACAGGCUAUGAUGGCUCCCCUGAGAAAAGACUGCAGGUCACUCCCGGUUGGACCAAAGGGGAGCAUUAACAAAACAAGUCACCAGUCCUUCCCUUCGCUCCUUCCUGGGAGAAACAAAACACUGUCAUCAUAAAGAACAAAUGGGAGAAAAAAAAUCUAUUUUAAUUUCUGAUUUUUGUAAUCAUAUCUAACAUUUUUG
rnacentral:lncRNA from 1 species